UACGUAGGGUGCAAGCGUUGUCCGGAAUUAUUGGGCGUAAAGAGCUCGUAGGCGGUUUGUCACGUCUGCUGUGAAAACUGGAGGCUCAACCUCCAGCUUGCAGUGGAUACGGGCAGACUAGAGUGCGGUAGGGGAGAUUGGAAUUCCUGGUGUAGCGGUGGAAUGCGCAGAUAUCAGGAGGAACACCGAUGGCGAAGGCAGAUCUCUGGGCCGUAACUGACGCUGAGGAGCGAAAGCGUGGGGAGCGAACAGG
rnacentral:rRNA from 1 species